AUGGCUCUUUUGACGGCAGAGGUGACUUGGUUACGGUGGUUACUUCAGGACUUUGGUGUUUCUGUCACUACACCGACUAUGCUCUUAUCUGACAGUACAGGUGCUAUUAGCAUUGCGCGCGAUCCUGUGAAACAUGAGCUCACCAAGCAUAUUGGUGUUGAUGCUUUCUAUGUGCGCGCUGCUGUGCAGGAUCAGGUCGUUGCUCUUCAGUAUGUGCCUUCCGAGUUACAGUUGGCGGAUUUCCUGACGAAGGCCCAGACUAGAGCACAACAUGGCUUUCAUCUCUCCAAACUCAGUGUUGUUCCUCCACCAUGA
rnacentral:rRNA from 1 species